AUUGAACGCUGGCGGCAUGCUUUACACAUGCAAGUCGAACGGUAACAGGCCUUCGGGUGCUGACGAGUGGCGAACGGGUGCGUAAUGCAUCGGAACGUGCCCAGAGGUGGGGGAUAACGCAGCGAAUGCUGUGCUAAUACCGCAUGUGAUCUGAGGAUGAAAGCGGGGGACCAAGCAGCAAUGUUUGGCCUCGCGCCUCUGGAGCGGCCGAUGUCAGAUUAGGUAGUUGGUGGGGUAAAGGCCUACCAAGCCGACGAUCUGUAGCUGGUCUGAGAGGGCGACCAGCCACACUGGAACUGAGACACGGCCCAGACUCCUACGGGAGGCAGCAGUGGGGAAUUUUGGACAAUGGGCGCAAGCCUGAUCCAGCAAUGCCGCGUGCGGGAAGAAGGCCUUCGGGUUGUAAACCGCUUUUGUACGGAACGAAAAGGCUCUGGCUAAUACCUGGGGCUGAUGACGGUACCGUAAGAAUAAGCACCGGCUAACUACGUG
rnacentral:rRNA from 1 species